rnacentral:lncRNA from 1 species
UACGGAUCUGAGUAGAAACAGAUUUCUCACAACUUGCUUCUCCGGCUCAAUUUCACAGUUCGGCAUACACUCAGGCACUGUCAAAAGCUUGACAAUGUUCCAGGGAAAAUAUUAACCGUAAACUUUCCAAGAGGAAUUAAAGGAGCAGGCAGAAAUGUCAGGGGAGAUGAAUGGUGCCUUGAAAGAGCUGAUUUACUGUCUAAGGAUAAAGUCUCCUAUAGAUCUUCAUUAAGAAUGCUAACUUCCCAAGGUUGAUUUGCAAGAGUGGCUACUGUGUGGGAGAAAA